GACCUACCACACCUGGUGCACAGGUGUGCGCCUCCCACUAAUACACCCACUAUUGUCAGUGCUGCUAAUUCUCCUGGGGACCUGGGAAUUCCCAGACAAUACACAAUCAUCAUUUGAAAAAACGGGACAGUAGGUGGAGAAGGAGCAACAGUUUCAGGCAAAUCCCACAAAUGUACGUGUCCAUCCGCCUACACUUUUCGGUCAGACAGAGGGGGGAGAUUGGUUUUCACCAGCAUGACUGCGUCGCUGCAGCUCCAGUCUUGUUUACACUUUUGGUUUCCAGCAAGUUCAUAAAAUUAAGUGAAGAACAGACAAAGAUUUCAGCGCACUCCUGCAUCCAACACAGAUAACAGUAAAUAUUUUAUUUUAUUUUCAAAUUACAUUAUCAAAACCUUUUUUACAAAAUGGAUACUUAUUAAUACAACGAGGUAA